CAACUAUCAACAACGGACUCUUGGCAUCCCACUCGAUGAAGAACGCAGCGAAUGCGAUAAGUAAUGUGAAUGCAGAAUUCAGUGAAUCAUCGAAUCUUUGAACGCACCUUGCACCUUCCAGUACUCUGGAGGGUAUGCCCGGUUGAGUAUUAUG
rnacentral:rRNA from 1 species